rnacentral:tRNA from 2 species
AUUUAUAUAGUUUAAAAAAAACUUUACAUUUUCAUUGUAAAAAUAAAAUCUUCCUUUUUUAUAAAUA